ACUCAAAUGAAUUGACGGGGGCUCACACAAGCGGUGGAGGAUGUGGCUUAAUUCGAGGCUACGCGAAGAACCUUAUCCUAGUCUUGACAUGCAUUUCUAAGUCGGUGAAAGCCGGCGAGUGGGGAAACCCACAACUUGCACAGGUGCUGCAUGGCUGUCGUCAGCUCGUGUCGUGAGAUGUCGCGUUAAGUCGCUUAACGAGCGAAACCCUUGUCUCUAGUUGCCAGCGGGUCAUGCCGGGGACUCUAGAGAGACUGCCGGUGUUAAACCGGAGGAAGGUGGGGAUGACGUCAAGUCCUCAUGGCCUUUAUGUCUAGGGCUGCACACGUCCUACAAUGGCGCGUACAAAGGGAUGCAAGCUCGCAAGAGUAAGCAAAUCCCAAAAAUCGCGCCCCAGUUCGGAUUGCAGGCUGCAACCCGCCUGCAUGAAGCCGGAAUCGCUAGUAAUCGCGGGUCAGCAUACCGCGGUGAAUGUGUUCCUGAGCCUUGCACACACCGCCCGU
rnacentral:rRNA from 1 species